CUUCGAUGAGCAGUGCGGUUGUUCACCUGCAAAGAUGAAAGCCAAUGAGAGGUUCAAGUUCCUUGACCCCGAAUAUCCAGUGAGUGGAGACUGUGUCCUGUUCAUAAAGUCUGUCAUCUCUAAUUCGGCAAAGACAGUGAUGACUGUAUAUAUGCAUACCAAUUCUGUGAGUGGCAUCUGCAGCAAAGGAUUGCCUGAUAGAAUCCAGGGAACGGCUGGACUCCAUGGCUCACGUCAGUAAUCCCAGCACUCAGCACUUUGGGAGGCCAAGAUGGGUGAGUCAUUUGAGGCCAGGAGUUCAAGACCAGCCUGGUCAACAUGGUGAAGCCCCAUCUCUAUUAAAAAUACAAAAAUUAGCUGGGUCUAGUGGCAUGUGCCUGUAAUCCCAGCUGCUCAGGAGGCUGAGGCAGUAGAAUGAAUUGAACCUGGGAAACGGAGGUUGCAGUGAGCAGAGAUCACAUCACUGUACUCCAGCCUGGGUGACAGAGCAAGACUCUGUCCCCACAAAAAAAAAAGAAGCCAUGGAAAACUAGAAACAAGUAUCUCCAG
rnacentral:lncRNA from 1 species